UGCAGAGCGAGGUUCAAGUUGUCUUUCUCAUUAUUUGGCCUUUGAAACUGCUCGAUGUGGUGUUGGAGCAACCCGCGGCCAUUCAGAUCGCAGCGGGAUUUUAACGCUGCGUGAUUCUGGUGGGUGCUUAAAGGAUCUGGGAGCAGCCCCUGACACCGGCCGCCUCCAUCAGGUUUCAAGCCUCUGCAAGAUCCUGACUGCUAGGGAACAAAGGCUGGUAUGCGGUUCCCUCAAAGCACACCAGGAUGAAACAGGACCCUGGGGAAUGAAAGGAGAGACUACGCACCUCACUAAAACAUUAAACACUACGGACAAUCCUGAUGCUGCCGUGUAAGACUGCUCAGAAGAAAGAAGAUACAGAGGAGUCGGGGAGAGGAAAAAGAAGCUGAGAUGCAAGGUUGUAAAUAAAUUAUGCCCUGUGUUAAGAUUGCA
rnacentral:lncRNA from 1 species